AGGGAAUAAGUCCGUUUUUUUUGUGACACAUGGUGACCAGACCUGGAAUCAUGACCUUUUAACUAGGAUCCAGAGCUAUUCCAAGUCAGACCUAUCUGCUGCCUUUGAUACUGUGAACCAUCAGAUCCUCCUCUCCACCGUCUCCGAGUUGGGUAUCUCCGGCGCGGCUCACUCUUGGAUUGCGUCCUACCUGACAGGUCGCUCCUACCAGGUGGCGAAUCGCAUCUCUGCAUGUCUGGCAGACAUAUCAGUGUGGAUGACGGAUCACCACUUCAAGCUGAACCUCGGCAAGACGGAGCUGCUCUUCCUCCCGGG
rnacentral:lncRNA from 1 species